CGUAAAGCUUGCGGGGAUGGCGGCCCCUGAAAACGGGCCUUAAUUGGGAACCGGGUGCAAGACCCGGACUGCCCCCGCAACUGUAAGCAGCGAAAACGGCCAGCGCGGCCCGAAGCUGUAAGUCAGGAUACCAACCAUCAAUCUGCAACCGCC
rnacentral:ncRNA from 2 species